rnacentral:lncRNA from 1 species
AGCGCUGGUAAUGGUGAGCUGGGGACGCUAACCGCUCCCCCUCUCCCACCGCCACCACGUCCACAGCCGCCGCCGCCGCCCACUCCGUUUCUUACCGCCGCCCAUCUGAGGAAGGACCCGACCUCGCCCACGCCAGCCGCGCAACACGGGCGGUCAGUCUAGUGCCCUCGUGCGUGCGGGCGUACUGCCUGUUGUCGCGGCUUAGGGCGUGUGUGAAGCGACGGAGCGAAGACGAGGCAAUGCCCCCUUUCGGUUAAUUGCAUUCGAGUGAUGUAGAAAAAAAAAUCCAGAUACAAGGAAAAAAAGAAAAGUAAAAAAAAUAUCUUGGACAAUUGA